rnacentral:rRNA from 1 species
AGUAAUACAUCGGAACGUGUCUUCUAGUGGGGGAUAACUGCCCGAAAGGGCAGCUAAUACCGCAUGAGACCUGAGGGUGGAAAGCGGGGGAUCGCAAGACCUCGCGCUGGAAGAGCGGCCGAUGUCCGAUUAGCUAGUUGGUGAGGUAAAGGCUCACCAAGGCGACGAUCGGUAGCUGGUCUGAGAGGACGACCAGCCACACUAGGACUGAGACACGGCCCAG